CCAUUCAAGAUGGUUCUCAGGGCUAAGAGCUUGAACCAAAUAAUAAUCCUCAAGUUCUGAUUCUUCAACAAUUGAAGUAUUUAGCUAUUGGAAAAUUGGUUUCGGUUAAUUCAACCCCUCUAGCGUGCUUGAACCAAUAACCAUCUUUAGACUAGCCUAGUCUUCUUCGUUCAUGGGGACCAAAAAGGAUUACACAAUAAUAAAAGUAUUUUCUUAGUUUUUU
rnacentral:lncRNA from 1 species